ACUCCUACGGGAGGCAGCAGUGGGAAUAUUGCACAAUGGGGGAAACCCUGAUGCAGCCAUGCCGCGUGUGUGAAGAAGGCCCUUCGGUUGUAAAGCACUUUCAGUAGGGAGGAAGGUAGUGUAGUUAACACCUGCAUUAUUUGACGUUACCUACAGAAGAAGCACCGGCUAACUCCGUGCCAGCAGCCGCGGUAAGUACGGAGGGUGCGAGCGUUAAUCGGAAUUACUGGGCGUAAAGCGCAUGCAGGCGGCCUGUUAAGUCAGAUGUGAAACGCCCGGGGCUUAACCUGGAAUUGCAUUUGAAACUGGCAGGCUAGAGUCUUGUAGAGGGGUAGAAUUUCAGGUGUAGCGGUGAAAUGCGUAGAG
rnacentral:rRNA from 1 species